rnacentral:rRNA from 1 species
AUUGAACGCUGGCGGCAGGCCUAACACAUGCAAGUCGAGCGGAUGAAGGGAGCUUGCUCCUGGAUUCAGCGGCGGACGGGUGAGUAAUGCCUAGGAAUCUGCCUGGUUGUGGGGGAUAACGUCCGGAAACGGGCGCUAAUACCGCAUACGUCCUGAGGGAGAAAGUGGGGGAUCUUCGGACCUCACGCUAUCAGAUGAGCCUAGGUCGGAUUAGCUAGUUGGUGGGGUAAAGGCCUACCAAGGCGACGAUCCGUGACUGGUCGGUGAGGCUGAGCAGUCACACGGGAACUGAAACACGGACCAUGGUACUACGGUAGGCAGCAGUCGCGAAUAUUGGGCAACGGUGGAAAGCAUGAUACAACGGGGCCAAGUGUGUGACGGAGGUCUCCCGAGCGUAAAGAAGGCCUUGGUGUGAGGAACCGCAGUCACCUAAUACCAAGCUUUAUUGACGUUAAUAAGAGAAGAAGCACCGGCUAACUUCGUG